rnacentral:rRNA from 1 species
UCAAGUGAAGAAGGGCAUACGGCGGAUGCCUAGGCGUUUCGAAACGAAGAAGGACGCGAUAAGCUGCGAUAAGCCAUGACGAGCUGCAAGUAAGCCUUGACUCAUGGAUUUCCGAAUGGGGCAACCCGGCAAGAGUAACGUCUUGUCACCCUGUACGAGAUACAGGGAGAAAACACCCGAUGAACUGAAACAUCUAAGUAGUCGGAGGAAAAGAAAUCAAAGAGAUUCCCUGAGUAGCGGCGAGCGAAACGGGAGGAGCCCAAACCUGAGGACUUCGGUUCUUAGGGGUUGCGGACCUGCAACAAGACAUAAGCUUUAGUGGAAGCAUCUGGGAAGGUGCGGCGAAGAGAGUGAGACCCUCGUACACGAAAGAGUGAGUGUUGGGCAGGGAUCCAGAGUACCACAGGGCACGAGGAACCCGGUGGGAAGCAGGGUGGACCACCAUCCAAGGCUAAAUACAUCGAAACGACCGAUAGCGAUGAGUACCGUGAGGGAAAGGUGAAAAGAACCCCGGGAGGGGAGUGCAAUAGAACCUGAAACCGUAUGUCUACAAACAGUCGGAGCACUUUAGAUGUGCGACGGCGUGCCUAUUGAAGAAUGAACCGGCGAGUUAAUUUAUGCUGCGAGGUUAAGCGGGAGACGCGGAGCCGAAGCGAAAGCGAGUCUUAAGAGGGCGGCAGUAGCAUGGAUUAGACCCGAAACCACAGUGAUCUAUGCAUGUCCAGGUUGAAGCUCAGGUAAAAAUGAGUGGAGGACCGAACCCGUGCGUGUUGAAAAACGUUGGGAUGAGGUGUGCAUAGGGGUGAAAUGCCAAUCGAACGUGGAGAUAGCUGGUUCUCCCCGAAAUAGCUUUAGGGCUAGCCUCAGGCGAAUAACCAUAGAGACGGUAGAGCACUGAUCGGGCAAGGGGGCGUAAAGCCUACCGACCCCAGUCAAACUACGAAUGGCUCAUAUGGGCAGCCUGGGAGUCAGAAUGCGAGUGAUAAGACCCGUAUUCAAGAGGGAAACAGCCCAGACCGCCGGCUAAGGUCCCAAAUGCUGUGCUAAGUGGAGAAGGAUGUAGGACUUCGAAAACAACCAGGAUGUUGGCUCAGAAGCAGCCACCAUUAAAAGAGUGCGUAAUAGCUCACUGGUCGAGAGGCCCUGCGCCGAAAAUAUCCGGGGCUCAAGCACAGAACCGAAGCCGCGGCAGGGUGUACUAAGGUACACACUGGGUAGGGGAGCGUUCUUAUCUGGACGAAGGCAGACCGGAAGGACUGCUGGACGGGUAAGAAGUGAGAAUGCCGGUAUGAGUAGCGAAACGACAGGUGAGAAUCCUGUCCACCGAAAGCCUAAGGAAUCCCGGGCAACGCUCGUCGUCCCGGGGUAAGUCGGGACCUAAGCCGAGGCGAAAAGCAUAGGCGAUGGACAACUGGCGAAAAUUCCAGUACCGGGCGACUUCGUUUGAGGAUGGAGUGACGCAGGAAGGAAGCUGAGCGCGCGACUGGUAGAGCGCGUCGAAGGCGGUAGGCUGGUAUGGAGGCAAAUCCCCAUACCGUAACGGCCGAGAACCGAUAGAUAGGAAGGGCUACGGCCCGACUGAAUUCAGCCGCACUAAACUGCCAAGAAAAGCUUCUAACGAGAAGUCGUCCGCCCGUACCAAAACCGACACAGGUAGGCGGGGAGAGAAUCCUAAGGUGCGCGGGAAAACCCUCGUUAAGGAACUCGGCAAAAUGCAUCCGUAACUUCGGGAAGGUUAAGGAGAGUUGUUAUCCCUAGAGGAGAAGCAGCGAACUGAAGCCCCUGUAAACGGCGGCCGUAACUAUAACGGUCCUAAGGUAGCGAAAUUCCUUGUCGGGUAAGUUCCGACCCGCACGAAAGGCGUAACGAUUUGGGCACUGUCUCAACGAUGGACUCGGUGAAAUCAUAGUACCUGUGAAGAUGCAGGUUACCCGCGACAGGACGGAAAGACCCCAUGGAGCUUUACUGUAGCUUGAUAUUGAAUUUUGAUGCAGUAUGUACAGGAUAGGUAGGAGCCAGAGAAUCAUGCACGCCAGUGUAUGAGGAGGCGUUGUUGGGAUACUACCCUUGCUGUAUUGAAAUUCUAACCCUCGGCGUAGAAGACCGGGAGACAGUGUCAGGUGGGCAGUUUGACUGGGGCGGUCGCCUCCCAAAGAGUAACGGAGGCGUUCAAAGGUUCCCUCAGAAUGGUUGGAAAUCAUUUGCAGAGUGUAAAGGCACAAGGGAGCUUGACUGUGAGACCUACAAGUCGAGCAGGUGCGAAAGCAGGACUUAGUGAUCCGGUGGUUCCGCAUGGAAGGGCCAUCGCUCAACGGAUAAAAGCUACCCUGGGGAUAACAGGCUUAUCUCCCCCAAGAGUCCACAUCGACGGGGAGGUUUGGCACCUCGAUGUCGGCUCAUCGCAUCCUGGGGCUGUAGUCGGUCCCAAGGGUUGGGCUGUUCGCCCAUUAAAGCGGUACGCGAGCUGGGUUCAGAACGUCGUGAGACAGUUCGGUCCCUAUCCGUCGUGGGCGUAGGAAAUUUGAGAGGAGCUGUCCUUAGUACGAGAGGACCGGGAUGGACGUAUCAAUGGUGUACCAGUUGUCACGCCAGUGGCAUAGCUGGGUAGCUAAAUACGGAAGGGAUAAGAGCUGAAAGCAUCUAAGCAUGAAGCCCCCCUCGAGAUGAGAUUUCCCACGGAUAUUAAGACCCCUUGAAGACGACAAGGAGAAUAGGUUAGGAGUGUAAGAAGACGACAAGGAGAAUAGGUUAGGAGUGUAAGCACGGUAACGUGUUCAG